rnacentral:pre_miRNA from 1 species
AAUAAGUGUAGUUUUGCACUAUUCACGUUCAACGUUUAACCGUUCGUCUUAUUUGAAAUUUUUUUAUGAUUAGUAUUUUUAUUGCUAUUAGAUGAUAAAACAUGAAUAGUAUUUUUUGUGUGACUAAAUAUUUUCAAAUUUUUCAAAUAAGACGGACGGUCAAACGUUGGGCACGGAUAUCCACGGCUGCACUUAUU